rnacentral:rRNA from 1 species
AUGGAGGGAGUGGCUGGGAUGAUGAGGGGGUUGAAGCUGUCGGGGGAGGAGAAGAAAGGAGUCAAGAUCAGGGGCGCGGCAAAGGAGAAGGGGAAGGGUGUAGGUGCACAGGCGGUUGGCAAGAUCUUCUCGGAGAGAUUGGCGCACCCAGAUGCCAUCUCGCUGUCUCUUGGGAAAGUUUGGUGUCCGAUCAAGGGAAUAGAUUGUAAGGAGGUGGGGGAAAACCGUUUUGUCUUCACGUUCUUACAAGAAUCAGGGAAGCGGAAGGCUAUUGAGAACGGGCCAUGGAUGUUUGAUAAUGACCUUGUGGUGGUGGAGGAGUUUGACCCUUGCAAGAGGCUGGAUGACUAUGAAUUCAACAACAUACCAGUUUGGGUCAGGGUGUAUAACCUUCCGUUAGGU